GGGGGGGGGGGGGGGGGGGGGGGGGGGGCGUCUUGGGGAGCUCUCGCCCGGGAGUCAUUCAGUGUAGAACCGCCCCUGCUUCACGCGGAACCAGGUGUCCUGCACGCGGCAGCCGCGCCGGAGGUCGAGUAUAGCAUGGUGAACUGCAGGUGAGCGCGGGCCACCUGUACGCCGAUGACGUCAUUUCAAAAGUCCUUAAUCGAUUUGUUUGACUAUUUUUGGAAUUCAUAAUUUGCAAAACUAGCUAUUCAUAAACUAGCAAAAUAACAAAGUCAUUUUGGGGAAACUCUCUGAAGAAUACUUCAUAUAGCCUUUAGGCAUGGCGGUGAUGGUGUGAUGAUCGGGGCUUGGUUUGCAUCUACUUUCUCCACACAGCAGUCUGAGGAUUAGUCUGGUAGUUGAGACGGUUUCAGGUUCCCGCCGGUCUGAAGCUGCUCUGUCUUCAAGGCUGCAGGGGACGGUGUUCAGGAGGUUCUGCAGUGCUGCAGGUUAUGGCUGGGAUUACCCGGAGGCAGAAUUCAGAGACAUCCCACUGUGCUUCCCGGAAUUCCUGUGUUCCAAACUUCUGCUUUUGCUGCUGACUGAUGAAAACUUCAGGCUCAGUCCAGCAGGACUGGUCCGGGUGCGUCAGAGCCUGCAGACGCUUCAGCCCGUCGAUGAGCUGAAGAAGGGUCCGUUCUCACUGCAGGCCAGGGUUCUGGGGUAUCAGCAGACCCGCGCGGGCAGAGGUGGACAUCCGCCUGUCCGCCACCUCCCGCUCUGGAUCCACGGUGUGGGAAAGCGUGCUGACCUUCCUGUCUGAAGGCAGAGGGUCACUCCAGAAUGUAGACGAGAGGCGGCAGCAUCACGAUGAGCAAGCAUCUGGGAACGAGAAGCAGGUGGAGCUCCGAGCUCCCUGGACAGCUGGCUUCCAGAGCUCAUGGUCCUCCUCCAGCUGCUCCCCUCAGCAGAUGUUCUGUGUGGCAGCCAGGUUCCUCAGCCGCGGCUCAGGCCCGGCUUCAGGCCUCUGGAUGCUGUCUGUCUGUUUGGCUGAAAUAGAAAAGCACAAAGGGGUAGACGUCAUCACAUCUCCUGUCAAAGUCGUGGCACAAUUCACAGAGCCCCUUCUGGUGCCAGGGAGAGUAACCAUCCGGUUUGGGGAAAACAACGAGGGUCAGUCCUCUGUAAAAGAUCACACCUUCUGCAUGGAGCAACACGGACGCAGCACACCCCUCUUGAUUGGGGUGAUUUCAAGGACUCAAUUCAAUUAGAACAUUCUUUUAUAUUGUUGUCCAAGCACAAAGAAAUGCCAAUAUUGUAUCAUUGUGUCCUCCUUAUAUUACAGCAACACUUUUUAAGUUAUGGAUUGAUUUUUGUGGCAAACAAAAGUCACAGUUUAAAGAUCAUAUUUUUCUAAACUUUAAACAUAAUAUAAAAGUGCUCAUAUUUACAAAUUAAAAUAUUUAAUAUUUGCUUUCAAGAACUUUUUUUUUGCUUUCUAUUUUUUUGGCAAACUUUGGUCAGCAGGCUAAAACAUUACACAAAACAGAAACAUAUCAACUCAAAAUCAAAGGAAGAAAGAAAUCAAUUGCAAAAUAUGAAAAAAAAAAAAGUUUGCAAUCGCAAAAAUAUUUUUAAGGGAAAAAAAUUGUUAGCAACUGCAAAAAUAUUUUUAAAAGCAUAAAAAAGUUUGUAAUUUCAAAAAUAUUUUUUGAAAAAAAAAUUGGCCAUCACAUUAAGUAUUUUGAAGCAAAAAGAAGUUUGGAAUCUCAAAAUUAUCUUUUAAAGCAGAAAAAAAGUUUUCAAUUGCAAACAUUUUUUGAAAGCAAAAAGAAAAGAUUGAAAUAACAAAAAUAUUUUUGAAUGCGAAAAUAAAAGAAAAAGCAGUUACAAAAAUAUUUUGGAAAAAUGAAAAAUUUGUAAUUUAAAAAAAAAAAUUGAAAACAAAAAGAAUUUGAUAUCCCAAAAAUAUUUUUGAAGCAAAAAAGUUUGGAAUCCCAAAAAAUAUUUUUGAAUGUUAAAAAAUGUUGCAAUCUCAAAAAAAAAAAAAAAAAAAAAAAUAUAUAUAUUUAUAUAUAUAUUAUAUAAUAUAUUAUAUAUAUUAUAUAUAAUAUAUAUAUAUAUAAUAUAUUAUAUAAUAUUAGAAAAUGUAGCAAAAGGGUUGCUAACCUUAAAUUAAGCAAACCUUAAAUAUUUUUAUUAGCAAAUUAGGAAUUUUUAUUCUUAACACUUCACUUUUUUUUUGGCAAUUUAGAUAAUUUGAAUCUCAAAACUGUAACUUUUGCUCUCCAUAUGGUAGCACAAAAAUCCCUCAAUAAUUCAGUGGUAACUUGGGCUAGCAUUGAGUCAGACGGCACCUAUUACAAUAUUUUCCUUUAUUGUAGUUCAGAGCAUCCAGAAAUUUUUAUCUGAAAAAGUCAUACUUUUUACAGAAGCUGAAAACAGUCUGCCCUACUUUUAUAUUAAUUUUUGAUAAUUUUCUCGUUAUAAGGAGAAAACGAACUUUGUUUUCUCCUUAUAACAAGACUUUUUAUAAACUGCUUUGUUUUGCUGCUGAUGUCUGCAGCUCAGUGAAGACACCGAGCAGAAACGCUCGGCAGCCCGCGCUUCUGUCAGUCAACCUAUUUGUGUGUUUGUUUGGGGGUUUUGGGGAAAUAAAGGGAGACGGCUGGUGCUUGAGACGGAAGUUAGACAUUUAAAAAACGUAGAUCCACUAAUAAAUAAAAAAUAGACUAAAAAACAACUUUUGGUGAGUGUUUUCUUCUAUUGCUUUUAUUGUUAACCACAAAAUUGAGAGAUUUCAAACAGCAUCUCUGUGCAGGAAGGAGAGAGUGGUUAUAACGAGAAAACCAACUUCAUUUUCUCUUUAUAACAAAAUAGUGGAUCUCGUUUUAACGAGUAAACAAUCCAAAAAAAAAAAGUGGGGUAGGCCAUUUUUGGUCUCUG
ensembl:lncRNA